rnacentral:sRNA from 1 species
CUAGAUUAUUACCUAUUGCCAUGGAAAUCGUUUUGUUGUAUUUCUAUUUCACUACAGGAACAAGCAGCAGGAGCUAAUGGACCAUAAGAGGGAAAUUUGUUGUUUAAACAAUGAUUAUCUUUUAUAUUUGGCUAACAUGAAAAGGGGAAAGUACAGUUUUUGUGUCACACUGCAUGAGAAGGUCUCCUAAAAAUCCAGAACAGAAGAUCAUUAAGAGAGUGAUUGCUCUUGAAGGAGAUAUUGUCAGCCUUCCCUGACAUCCAGCUCCGUCUUCGAGUCCCUAGACAAUGUGAUUUUUUUUUAAUACAUACGAUAGCAAAUAGAAGAGAUUUCUUGAAUUCAUGUGAUAGCAAAUAGAAGAGCUUCAGUGAAAGGAAUGUUUUAUGUUAAUCUCUGUGGAAGUCCAAUUUAUAGGAAAAACAUUUGAAAAUAAAAUGGUUUCCCUAGGACUUCUGCAUGCCCAUGCCACACAUAUCCUGUGGCCCCCGGAGCGCUGGCAGAAAUUGGAAUCUGUUCUUCCUCCAGAGCGCUUACCAGUACAGAGAGAAGAGGAAUGACUGCAUGAAUCUACCUGAGUUGCUGGCAUUGGGAGGCCAGUUACUGGAGAGGAAUGGAAAAAAGAAGCCUCCAAAAGGGAAAAACUUCUGACAGUAUGAUGCUGUGCGAGAAACAUUUACAGCACAUUAAGACGAUCUGUAUUAUUAAAUAAAUAAUUUUCAAAUGUUAAAAGUAUUAAAUGGCACCUGAUUUUGUGUUAAAUUUUAGUUCCCUGUUGUUUAAUGCCCAUAAAAUAUGCAGACCUUUGGGAAUAUAAAAAUAUUGCACCCACAUGUCUUAAUGGGGCUAAAUUUCAGAUU